ACAGCCAUAUGAUGUUGAAACACUGGUUCCUGUACGGUCACCAAAGUUAAGCAAUGUCAAGCCAGGUUAGUACCUAAAUGGGUAACCACUUGGGAAUACCAUGUGCUGUAA